rnacentral:rRNA from 1 species
AUACGGAGGGUGCAAGCGUUAUCCGGAAUCAUUGCGUUUAAAGGGUCCGUAGGCGGAUUGGUAAGUCAGUGGUGAAAGUCUGCAGCUUAACUGUAGAAUUGCCAUUGAUACUGCUAGUCUUGAAUUACUGUGAAGUGAUUAGAAUGUGUAGUGUAGCGGUGAAAUGCAUAGAUAUUACACAGAAUACCAAUUGCGAAGGCAGAUCACUAACAGUAUAUUGACGCUGAGGGACGAAAGCGUGGGGAGCGAACAGGAUUAGAAACCCUAGUAGUCC